rnacentral:rRNA from 1 species
AUUGAACGCUGGCGGCAUGCCUUACACAUGCAAGUCGAACGGUAACAGGUCUUCGGAUGCUGACGAGUGGCGAACGGGUGAGUAAUACAUCGGAACGUGCCUAGUAGUGGGGGAUAACUACUCGAAAGAGUGGCUAAUACCGCAUGAGAUCUGCGGAUGAAAGCAGGGGAUCGCAAGACCUUGUGCUACUAGAGCGGCCGAUGGCAGAUUAGGUAGUUGGUGGGAUAAAAGCUUACCAAGCCGAGGAUCUGUAGCUGGUCUGAGAGGACGAUCAGCCACACUGGGACUGAGACACGGCCCAGCCUCCUACGGGAGGCAGCAGUGGGGAAUUUUGGACAAUGGGCGAAAGCCUGAUCCAGCAAUGCCGCGUGCAGGAUGAAGGCCUUCGGGUUGUAAGCUGCUUUUGUACGGAACGAAAAGCCCCGGGUUAAUACCCUGGGGUCAUGACGGUACCGUAAGAAUAAGCACCGGCUAACUACGUGCCAGCCGCCGCCGUAA